CAACAGGGAGUGACUCCCAUCAUUGUGCAGCUCCGUUUUAUUAGAAAAAUGGUUGAAAAAGAUCUGCUAACCAAGAAGUCACUUUCUGGGUCUGUUUCCCUCUUGGUAAUGGAUGGAGAAACUUCUCAUAGUCAGUGAGGGAUCGGUCGUAAAAACUUCGCAUGGAAGAUUAAUGUAAUAAUCACAGGCCUUGCUGGAAAAAAUAGGAGGAAAAUUAAAAUAACCCAACUGUCCCACUUAUCCAGAACCAUCUCCCUCACUUUGGAGGCCAGAUGAGUGAGGUGGGCCACAUCUCUGAGCACGAAGGAGCAGGAUUUCUGAGGAACAGCUGGGCAAGUGACAUAACUGGCACCAAUAUCACAGGGCUGAUGUGAGACUAUGAAAGGAAAUAUGAAGCAUUAACACAGGCCCUAGCCCAUAAUCAUCUCUUGCUACACUGAUA